UACGGGAGGCAGCAGUGGGGAAUAUUGCACAAUGGGCGCAAGCCUGAUGCAGCCAUGCCGCGUGUAUGAAGAAGGCCUUAGGGUUGUAAAGUACUUUCAGUGGGGAGGAAGGCGAUGAAGUUAAUAGCUUCGUCGAUUGACGUUACCCGCAGAAGAAGCACCGGCUAACUCCGUACCAGCAGCCGCGGUAAUA
rnacentral:rRNA from 1 species